rnacentral:lncRNA from 1 species
AGGAAAAGUUAAAGCACCAGUGCGAAACCCCCUCAUUUUGUGGCAAGGGUGGGUUUCACAUUUGCCCUCUGCCGAGGGAGAGCUACAGGAAUUAGAACUCCUAGGCUCUGCAAAAGCUGAAUUUUGCAUUCAAUUUGAUUUUUCCCCAACCAAAGAAGUAAAAUUAUAUGAGCAUGUCAAACAGUACAAGGUAGAAUUCAGAGCAGGUCAAUGGUGCACAGCUGUCUACAAGCUGAAAUUUACAUUCACCACUGAUUUCCGUCCACGCAAGCUGGACAAGGGAAUGUUUCUUAUCUGUGGGGACAGAGCGUACCCAGGAAUCCCCUCUCGUCUUAUUGGAGGUCCAUGCACUUUUGGGCAUCUGACCCUUGCUUCCCCCAACAUGACCCAAAUUCCAACUGGGCAAGCAAAAGGUGAGAAAAAAAUUACUAAGCGGAGUGCAAGUCAAUUUGAUGAACAUUGUGACGCAGAAAUUUACCAUUGGGCAAAAUCCAAAAGAGUUGCCGUCUCUGUGUUUUUACCAUGGGUUGCGGCAGCCAAAGCACGGAGUGAAUUAGGCAAUCUAGAAUGCUGGGUGACCAAGCAGGCAAAUUUAACAUCAGAUGAGGAAAUAACCAGAAAGGCUACCCUCCAAAAUCGGGCAGCUAUUGAUUUCCUGCUGUUGGCACAUGGUCAUGGAUGUAAAGAAUUUGAUGGGUUGUGUUGUUUUGAUCUGUCAUCUAAAGGUCAGAGUGUCCACUCGUCCAUUCAGGAAAUGAGAAGCCUCAUUGGGAAUGUGAAGCAAGAAAAUGAGGAUUGGUUUAAAAAUCUGUUCAAAGACUGGGACUUUUCUGGGUGGGCAGUGUCUCUUUUAAAAAACAUCUUUUACUUUCUAGUUGCAUUGUUUUUAGUUCUGUUAGCAUUCGGGAUUCUGAAGCGGAUCGUCUCCAAGGUCAUCACAUCGAAGCCGAAGGCUUCUGCGCCAGUUUUCAUCGCUGCUGCUGCCACGGAAAGUGAUUGGUGGGAAGAUGACAAGCAGAAAGACACUGCAGUUUAAGAGCCACAGUUUUACCUUCUCCCAAGGCACUGUUCUUCUUAAUAAGUAAAGAAGAGGGAAUUGU